rnacentral:rRNA from 1 species
UACGAAGGGGGCUAGCGUUGUUCGGGAUUACUGGGCGUAAAGCGCACGUAGGCGGCUCUGUAAGUUGGGGGUGAAAUCCCGAGGCUCAACCUCGGAAUUGCCUUCAAGACUGCAGGGCUUGAGUUCGGAAGAGGUGAGUGGAAUUCCUAGUGUAGAGGUGAAAUUCGUAGAUAUUGGGAAGAACACCAGUGGCGAAGGCGGCUCACUGGCCCGGAACUGACGCUGAGGUGCGAAAGCGUGGGGAGCAAACAGG